rnacentral:lncRNA from 1 species
GCUCCCAGGAUGACUGGAUUUGGGACCCGGAAGUCUUUCUUCACCACUGCACCGUAAGUUUUUCUUGGGUAGGUAUGGCGUCUUAACCGUCCUUAUUUGUCCAGUACUUAGCACAACGUUUGGCAUAUAGUCGGCAGUGAUCAUAUUUUCUUAACUGAACUGAACUUGGUAAAUGCUAAUAUGCCAGAAUGACCUACUACAUAGUUACUUU